GCCAAUGAGCUGCAGGAUUACUGCGAUGUACCGAGCUCUAGUUGCGGCAUAAAGCGUGAAACCAGCAUAGGAGUCGCGCUGGGAGAUUGCAGGGCAGAAUUAACAAUGGAGGCGGACAAGAAUGAAUCCAGAGGUAAGGUUGGAUCUCAGGCCUUGCCAGCUGGUCAAGACAAAGUUGACAGUGUGCCUCACACUCCAUGCACCAUCCUUGAGAGCUUACCCAAGUCUGUGAAGAGAAGAGUCAAUGCCUUAAAGCAGUUGCAGGUGCAGUGUGCUCACAUAGAAGCCAAAUUCUAUGAGGAGGUCCACGAGCUCGAGAGAAAGUAUGCAGCCCUCUAUCAGCCCCUCUUUGACAAGAGAAGAGAUGUGGUAACUGGCACAGUUGAACCUACAGACGAGGAGUGUGAGUGGCUCAGCGACAGAGAAGAGGAGGAGGAGCUGUCUGAGGAGCUGAAAAAAAAGGCUUGCGUGGAGGAAGCGAAAGAGGUGGGGGCUCCCGUGGAAGACCCUAAGGGCAUCCCAGAAUUCUGGCUCACCAUCUUCAAAAGCGUAGACAUGCUCAGCGACAUGCUGCAGGAGCAUGAUGAACCCAUCCUGAAACACUUGCAAGACAUCAAAGUCAAAUUCUCAGAGCCCGGACAGCCUAUGAGUUUCACGUUAGAGUUCCACUUUGAGCCAAACAGCUACUUUACCAAUACAGUGCUGACCAAGGUGUACAAAAUGAAGUCGGAGCCGGACCAGUCCGACCCCUUCUCCUUUGAAGGGCCAGAAAUAGUGGACUGUGAGGGCUGUGAAAUAAACUGGAAUAAAGGCAAAGACGUAACAGUGAAAACGAUAAAGAAAAAGCAGAAGCAUAAGGGACGGGGUACAGUGAGAACUAUCACCAAGCAAGUGCCCAAUGACUCCUUCUUCAACUUCUUUAAGCCCAUCAAAGUGUCAUCAGAUGGAGAGAUGGAUGAGGACUCGGAGUUCACCCUGGCUGCAGAUUUUGAGAUCGGCCAUUUCUUCCGUGAGCGGGUCGUUCCCCGGGCGGUGCUGUACUUCACUGGAGAGGCCCUGGAGGACGACGAGAGUUUUGAAGAGGAGGAAGUUGAGGAAGGAGAAGAAGAGGACCAUGGUGAAGAUGGGGAUGAAGAUGAUGAGGGAGAAUUUGACCCCAAGCUGGAUAAAAUGUUGCCAUCAUCUGGAGCUGGGUAGCAGGCAUCCUGUUUUUAAGACCUGUUAAGGCAUGCAUCGCUUUUGAAAAGGGUGUUGAAAACUUCACUUGAAAAGUAAAUGUUUAAUAUAUAGGAAGUAAUUUUUAAAGUAAAACUGACGAUUGAGAGAGGAACGACACAUGCAUUUGUGUGUUGGAAAAUGAACACUGUUCUCUGCUGAUUUCACUAGCAAAAAUGCAAUGUAGGUAUACUUUAUUUCUUAUGAUACAGCGGCAGAUUUAUUCAAGGUAUAGGUAGGAAAGUUCUUUGGGAGCGCAUCUGAAAUUUUCUGUUUAUGAAAAAAAUAUCCUUCAUUUCUUGGUGGAAUUCCCAUCUUAAUGUUUAAUGAGGGCUUUGAGGAGGGAGACCAAAGGAUCAAUUUCUUUUCAAAUUUCAGCCUGUUUUCAGACAAAACUUUCACAUGAUUGAUUCUAAAACCUGUUAACGUGAAACUGAUUGCACAAGACUGUCUGAAUUUAUAAUUGAGAAUCAGGGGGCUGCUUUCCUCUCGUUUUUAUUAGUGGAAUUUAUCCUGUUUGAUUAUGAUUGACAUUGUUUUUCCUACCUAUCCCCACCCCGUUACCCCAUUACAGGCAUAAUUCAUUCUCACUUCAUGCAUUUCUAGAAAGAAGAUCCCCAACCUGCUGAGUGCAAGCAGCAGUAAUAUGGGGAGCCCACCACUGUCACGCUAAGGCCCGUGUUAAUUUGGACGGUGGUUUCAGUCUGCAGAGAAUGACCACGCUGCUGCGGAUCUGCCCCAUCAGAUUUAACACACACAUAUAACAAAGUGUUUUUAAAAGUGCAUGAUCGUUUUCUGCCCCAGUCCCCCAGCCCCCUGUACAGAGUAAACAUUUUCUCAAAAAUUAGUCAUAAAACACUGUAAAUAAACUUAGGAGGCAAGAUGAUGCUGCAAUCUAUGCCAUGGGUGAACGUAUGCAAAAGAAACUCAGAACCACAGCUUCCGAUGGAAUUAGCCAGAGCCCUGUGAUCAGCACCACAUUCCAGAUGCCCUGUUAGAUGAUUUCGACAACCCAAGAUAUAAUAAGCUAAUCCAACCAUUGACUUGACAUAGGUUACUCAGGGUUUUUUAUGCCAAGAAAAACAAAAAAAGUAUAUUAAAAAAUCUAACAUACUGUUGACAAGAUCUUUAUAUGUCUUCGGGGGAUACCUAUUUAAAUUGUUUUUCAUCUGCUAAUGACACUUUUUAAAAACCACAUUUCUCUUAUUCAUGAGGUAUUUAUAUUUGUUUGCUUUUGAACAGGUUUGAACUAUGUAUGAUGGUCUUUGGGGGCUCUGUUUGAAGGGGGAGAUGGCUGGUCUCCUUCCGAUGGGCCUUAUAUUGUGAAAUACAGCCACAUUUUAACUUUGGCCACUGUUAUUCUUCCUCUUGGAUGCUGUUACAUUACCACCCGUGAGCUUGCUAAUAAAUUAUCUUUGUCAUGUUGCCAAAUUUUCAUGGGUAAAGUAAGCUAAGUGAAGUAACCCAAAUUUUAUCUUGUUUCAUAAGUUGCCCACAGUGGAGUAGUAAGGAUACGUUUAAUGUAGGGGAAUGCAAAUAACCCGGAAAGAAGGGUUAUCCUGUUUCCUCAAGUUUUUCAGUCUCCACAAAAAGGGCUGCAAGUUGUUAACUGUCUUGUUUUACCAGUUGUGUUGAUGCAGAAGGAGGACUUGCGUGACUGGGGGAGUUUUGUGGGUGAUUUGAAGCUCAAAAACUUUGACAAUGUAAAUGUGUUAGAAUGCGGAUGAUGGUAUUAAAGUGAUAUGCCCCUUCAUGUCCCAAAAGGGCAGUUAACCAAAAAAAGCAAAUUUAAUGAAGAUACUCCAGUCUUUUGACUAUUAAAUGGGACUGACUCACAAGGCCCAGCUCCGGGGCUUUCUACAUAGAUAGUGUAUGAGCUGUUUUCUUGCACUGAUCUGCAAUUACUCAAUACGGUGUUUCAGGUUGUACAGAAUAGUUAGGAUAUUCUAUUAAAAAUUGUGCAACGUUAAA